rnacentral:rRNA from 1 species
UACGGGGGAUGCAAGCGUUAUCCGGAAUCAUUGGGCGUAAAGCGCCUGUAGGUUGUUUAAUAAGUCUGUUGUUAAAGACUAGGGCUUAACCCUAGAAAAGCAAUGGAAACUACUAGACUAGAGUAUGGCAGGGGUAGAGGGAAUUUCUAGUGUAGCGGUGAAAUGCGUAGAUAUUAGAAAGAACACCGGUGGCGAAAGCGCUCUACUGGACCAUUACUGACACUCAGAGGCGAAAGCUAGGGUAGCAAAAGGGAUUAGAUACCCCUGUAGUCCUAGCCGUAAACGAUGGAUACUAGAUGUUGUGCAUAAAGUACAGUAUCGUAGCCAACGCGUUAAGUGUUCCGCCUGGGGAGUACGCACGCAAGUGUG